CUACGGGAUGCACCAGUAGGGAAUAUUGGACAAUGGGCGAAAGCCUGAUCCAGCAACACCGCGUGCACGAUGACGGCCUUCGGGUUGUAAAGUGCUUUUAGAGGAGAUGAGAAAGGACAGUAUCCUCUGAAUAAGCCUCGGCGAACUACGUGCCAGCAGCCGCGGUAAAACGUAGGAGGCAAGCGUUAUCCGGAUUUAUUGGGCGUAAAGCGCGUGCAGGCGGUCUAGCAAGUUGGAUGUGAAAGCUCCCGGCUCAACUGGGAGAGGUCGUUCAAUACUGUUAGACUAGAGAAUAGGAGAGGGAGGUGGAAUUCCGGGUGUAGUGGUGAAAUGCGUAGAUAUCCGGAGGAACACCAGUGGCGAAAGCGGCCUCCUGGACUAUUUCUGACGCUAAGACGCGAAAGCUAGGGUAGCAAACGGGAUUAGAUACCCUGGUAGUC
rnacentral:rRNA from 1 species